rnacentral:rRNA from 1 species
CAAUAGCGUAUAUUAAAGUUGUUGCAGUUAAAAAGCUCGUAGUUGGAUUUCUGGUGGGAGCGAUCGGUCUGGCGCUUAGCGCGAGUACUUGCAUCGUCUCCGGCCAUCCUUGGGGAGAGUCUGUCUGGCAUUAGGUUGUCGGGCAGAGGAUCCUCAUCGUUUACUGUGAAAAAAUUAGAGUGUUCAAAGCAGGCUUAUGCCGUUGAAUAUAUUAGCAUGGAAUAAUAAGAUAGGACUUUGGUACUAUUUUGUUGGUUUGCGCACCAAAGUAAUGAUUAAUAGGGACAGUUGGGGGUAUUCGUAUUCCGUUGUCAGAGGUGAAGUUCUUGGAUUUACGGAAGACGAACUACUGCGAAAGCAUUUACCAAGGAUGUUUUCAUUA